AGUGUCAUCUGAGACCCGCAGGCUAAAGGCAGAAAAACUGAACUCCGUUGACCUAGAUUGGGAAGAAUGUUGUAACCGUUCAUUCACAUCCAGAGAGGAGUUUGCUGGGCUCAGCUUCCACGUUCCUCAUUCAUCCGGAGCCUUUCUGCUUUCUCCCGAGGUUGCUGAGGACGCUGGCUCAGUGCCACCUACCACCACCCAGCUGGCCGGGCGGCAGGCUGUGUGCGGCCUCUGAUGGCAGCGCCCUGAGGUACUAAGUGCAUUCCAGCGAGGGCAGCUCGAAGGAGCCCGAAAGCCUCCCAUCGGGCCCUCCACGGGAAGAAGCAACAGCCGUUUUAAAGGGGAAGUGAUGAGCUCUUCACACUCCGGAGGUGCCCAGCUGGCAUGAACUUGGGGCUCACACGUGAAUCUCCAUCAUCUCUCUCUGAAAGGCCUACACAGACGUGCCCGGAAUGCCACCAUCUCCUCUCCUGCCCCGAU